rnacentral:rRNA from 1 species
AGUGAACGCUGGCGGUAGGCCUAACACAUGCAAGUCGAACGGCAGCACAGUAAGAGCUUGCUCUUACGGGUGGCGAGUGGCGGACGGGUGAGGAAUACAUCGGAAUCUACUUUUUCGUGGGUGAUAACGUAGGGAAACUUACGCUAAUACCGCAUACGACCUACGGGUGAAAGCAGUGGAUCUUCGGACCUUUCGCGAUUGAAUGAGCCGAUGUCGGAUUAGCUAGUUGGCGGGGUAAAGGCCCACCAAGGCGACGAUCCGUAGCUGGUCUGAGAGGAUGAUCAGCCACACUGGAACUGAGACACGGUCCAGACUCCUACGGGAGGCAGCAGUGGGGAAUAUUGGACAAUGGGCGAAAGCCUGAUCCAGCCAUACCGCGUGGGUGAAGAAGGCCUUCGGGUUGUAAAGCCCUUUUGUUGGGAAAGAAAAGCAGCAGGUUAAUACCCCGCUGUUCUGACGGUACCCAAAGAAUAAGCCCCGGCUAACUUCGUG